GAUGAACGCUAGCGGCAGGCUUAAUACAUGCAAGUCGUGGGGCAGCAGGGGUGUAGCAAUACAUCUGCUGGCGACCGGCAAACGGGUGCGUAACACGUACGCAACCUUCCCGUUACUGUGGCAUAGCCCAGGGAAACUUGGAUUAAUACCACAUAUUAUAUAGAGAGGGCAUCCUUUUUAUAUCAAAGCUUCUGCGGUAACGACUGGGCGUGCGGUUGAUUAGGUAGUUGGCGGGGUAACGGCCCACCAAGCCUACGAUCAAUAGCUGAUGUGAGAGCAUGAUCAGCCACACGGGCACUGAGACACGGGCCCGACUCCUACGGGAGGCAGCAGUAAGGAAUAUUGGGCAAUGGACGAAAGUCUGACCCAGCCAUGCCGCGUGAAGGAUUAAGGUCCUCUGGAUUGUAAACUUCUUUUCUCUGGGGCGAAAACCAGCUAUUCUUAGCUAUUUGACAGUACCAGAGGAAUAAGCACCGGCUAACUCCGUGCCAGCAGCCGCCGUAAAAC
rnacentral:rRNA from 1 species